AUCCAGUUGAUCCUGCUGGCGGCUGCGGCUAUUUGGUUUGCAAUUAGACAUGCAAGUCUGUUGAAAGACGGCGAACUGCUCAGUAACACGUAGCUAACCUGCCCUAAUGCUUGGGAUACCCUCGGGAAACUGAGAUUAAACCCGAAUAGGAAAUAAUUUCUGGAAUGAUUUAUUUCUCAAAGUUAGGAUGGGGCUGCGGCUGAUUAGCUUGUUGGCGGGGUAAUAGCCCACCAAGGCAUUUAUCAGUAAGGGCUCUUAGCGGAGAAGCCCUGAGAGGGAGUCUGAGACACUACUCCCAGCCCUACGGGGUGCAGCAGUUAGGAAAAUUCUGCAAUGUACGAAAGUAUGACAGAGCAAGCCAAAGUGAUUCUCUAAUAAUUGAGAAUCUUUUAUGCGAUGUAAAAAGUCGCAUGAAUAAGGACUGGGCAAGACUGGUGCCAGCCGCCGCGGUAAUCCCAGCGGUCCAAGUCGCAGCCACUUUUAUUGGGUCUAAAACAUCCGUAGCUUGCCUCGUCAGUCUUUUGUGAAAUCUGGCCUCUUAAGGGUCAGGCGAGCAAGAGAUACUGCGAGGCUAGAGAUCGGAAGACGUAAGAAGUACGCAUAGGGUAGCGGUCAAAUGUGUUGAUCCUUUGUGGACUAACGAUAGCGAAGGCAUCUUACGAGAACGAAUCUGACAGUGAGGGAUGAAGGCUAGGGGCGCAAAACGGAUUAGAUACCCGUGUAGUCCUAGCAGUAAACACUGCACACUAAACAUCGGUCCCUCCUCGAGAGGUAUCGGUGCUGUAGGGAAGCCGGAGAGUGUGCUACCUGGGAAGUAUAGUCGCAAGGCCGAAACUUAAAGGAAUAGGCGGCGGGAUACUACAACCAGUGACGCGUGCGGUGUCAAUUAGAUUCUACACCGUGAACCUCACCAGGGUCGACAGCAGAAUGAAGGUCAGUCUAAAGGGCUUACCUGACACGCUGAGAGGGGCCGCAAGGCCGACGUCAGCCUGUGUCGUGAGAUGAUCUGUUAAAUCAGAUAACAGGCGAGACCCGCGUGUACAUUUACUUUGUACAAUGUACAGACUGCCUUGGUAACAAGGAGGAAGGUGCGGGCUACGUUAGGUUAGUUCAGCCCGAAUGCCCUGGGCUACACGCGCGCGGCAAUGAUACAUCCAAAGGGUCGCAACUCCGAGAGGAGAAGCUAAUCUCAUAAACUGUAUCCUAGUUCAGAUUGAGGAUUGCAACUCAUCCUCAUGACGCUGGAAUUGGUAGUAAUCGGAUUUUAUCAGAGUCCAGUGAAUAAGUCAAUGUCCCGUGCACUCACCGCCCGUCAAACCAACCGAGUUAUGCUUUGGCGAGGCCCGUUAGGGACGAACCUCGGUAUAGCAAGGUAGGUUAAGUCGUCACAAGGUAUCUGUAGGGGAACCUGCAGAUGGAUCACCUCC
rnacentral:rRNA from 1 species